rnacentral:rRNA from 1 species
GAAGGGGGCGAGCGUUGUUCGGAUUUACUGGGCGUAAAGGGCGCGCAGGCGGUUCUGUUUGUCGAGUGUGAAAGCCCCGGGCUCAACCUGGGAACUGCGCUCGAAACGGCGGAACUAGAGUUCGGGAGAGGAGAGUGGAAUUCCCAGUGUAGAGGUGAAAUUCGUAGAUAUUGGGAAGAACACCGGUGGCGAAGGCGGCUCUCUGGACCGAUACUGACGCUGAGGCGCGAAAGCGUGGGGAGCAAACAGGAUUAGAUACCCUGGUAGUCCACGCUGUAAACGAUGUGUGCUAGACGUUGGGGAGCCUAGCUCUUCGGUGUCGCAGCUAACGCGGUAAGCACACCGCCUGGGGAGUACGGCCGCAAGGUUA